UACCAGCACCCCGAGUGGUCGGGACGUUUAUUGGGCCUAAAGCAUCCGUAGCCGGUUCUGCAAGUCUUCCGUUAAGUCCACCUGCUUAACAGAUGGGCCGCGGAAGAUACUAUAGAGCUAGGAGGCGGGAGAGGCAAGCGGUACUCGAUGGGUAGGGGUAAAAUCCGUUGAUCCAUUGAAGACCACCAGUGGCGAAGGCGGCUUGCCAGAACGCGCUCGACGGUGAGGGAUGAAAGCUGGGGGAGCAAACCGG
rnacentral:rRNA from 1 species